AUUCCAGCUCCAGUAGCGUAUAUUAUUACUGUUGUAGUUAAAAAGCUCGUAGUUGAAUAUCUGGCGUUGGGAAGCCCUGCCCGCCGCGAUUCGCGUGUGAGUUGUGGGGCGUCCCCGCCAUCCUGUGUGGGAGCCCGCCUACCCUUCAUUAGGCCGGGCGGUGCGAGCACACUCAGUUACUUUGAGAAAAUCUGCACGUUCAAAGCAGGCACACGCUAUGAAAGCUUCAGCAUGGAAUAACAAGAUAGGACCUGGGUCUCUAUUUUGUUGGUUUCUAGGAUCGAGGUGAUGAUUGAUAGGGACAGUUGGGGGUGCUUGUAUUUAACGGCCAGAGGUGAAAUUCUUGGAUUCGUUAAAGACGAACUACUGCGAAAGCAUUCACCAAGGAUGUCUUCAUUA
rnacentral:rRNA from 1 species